rnacentral:rRNA from 1 species
CCCGCACAAGCGGUGGAGCAUGUGGUUAAUUCGAAGCAACGCGAAGAACCUUACCAGGUCUUGACAUCCCGAUGCUAUUUCUAGAGAUAGAAAGUUACUUCGGUACAUCGGUGACAGGUGGUGCAUGGUUGUCGUCAGCUCGUGUCGUGAGAUGUUGGGUUAAGUCCCGCAACGAGCGCAACCCCUAUUGUUAGUUGCCAUCAUUCAGUUGGGCACUCUAGCGAGACUGCCGGUAAUAAACCGGAGGAAGGUGGGGAUGACGUCAAAUCAUCAUGCCCCUUAUGACCUGGGCUACACACGUGCUACAAUGGUUGGUACAACGAGUUGCGAGUCGGUGACGGCGAGCUAAUCUCUUAAAGCCAAUCUCAGUUCGGAUUGUAGGCUGCAACUCGCCUACAUGAAGUCGGAAUCGCUAGUAAUCGCGGAUCAGCACGCCGCGGUGAAUACCGUUCCCGGGCCUU